CUCGUGGGUAACCUGCCCAUAAGACUGGGAUAACUCCGGGAAACCGGGGCUAAUACCGGAUAACAUUUUGAACUGCAUGGUUCGAAAUUGAAAGGCGGCUUCGGCUGUCACUUAUGGAUGGACCCGCGUCGCAUUAGCUAGUUGGUGAGGUAACGGCUCACCAAGGCAACGAUGCGUAGCCGACCUGAGAGGGUGAUCGGCCACACUGGGACUGAGACACGGCCCAGACUCCUACGGGAGGCAGCAGUAGGGAAUCUUCCGCAAUGGACGAAAGUCUGACGGAGCAACGCCGCGUGAGUGAUGAAGGCUUUCGGGUCGUAAAACUCUGUUGUUAGGGAAGAACAAGUGCUAGUUGAAUAAGCUGGCACCUUGACGGUACCUAACCAGAAAGCCACGGCUAACUACGUGCCAGCAGCCGCGGUAAUACGUAGGUGGCAAGCGUUAUCCGGAAUUAUUGGGCGUAAAGCGCGCGCAGGUGGUUUCUUAAGUCUGAUGUGAAAGCCCACGGCUCAACCGUGGAGGGUCAUUGGAAACUGGGAGACUUGAGUGCAGAAGAGGAAAGUGGAAUUCCAUGUGUAGCGGUGA
rnacentral:rRNA from 1 species